rnacentral:rRNA from 1 species
AUUCCUACGGGACGCAGCAGUGGGGAAUAUUGCACAAUGGGGGAAACCCUGAUGCAGCGACGCCGCGUGAGUGAAGAAGUGCCCCGGCACGUAAAGCUCUAUCAGCAGGGAAGAAAAUGACGGUACCUGACCAAGAAGCCCCGGCUAACUACGUGCCAGCAGCCGCGGUAAUACGUAGGGGGCAAGCGUUAUCCGGAUUUACUGGGUGUAAAGGGAGCGUAGGCGGAAUGCCAAGUCAGCGGUAAAAUCGCGGGGCUCAACCUCGCUCCGCCGUUGAAACUGGCGUUCUUGAGUGGGCGAGAAGU